rnacentral:rRNA from 1 species
CUACGGGAGGCACCAGUGAGGAAUAUUGCACAAUGGGGGGAACCCUGAUGCAGCAACGCCGCGUGGAGGAUGACGCAUUUCGGUGUGUAAACUCCUUUUAUAUGUCAAGAAAAUGACGGUAGCAUAUGAAUAAGCACCGGCUAACUCCGUGCCAGCAGCCGCGGUAAUACGGAGGGUGCAAGCGUUACUCGGAAUCACUGGGCGUAAAGGACGCGUAGGCGGGUUGGAAAGUCAGGUGUGAAAUCCUACAGCUUAACUGUAGAACUGCACUUGAAACUUCUAAUCUAGAGUAUGGGAGGGGGAGAUGGAGUUAGUGGUGUAGGGGUAAAAUCCGUAGAUAUCACUAGGAAUACCUAAAGCGAAGGCGAUCUCCUGGAACAUUACUGACGCUAAGGCGUAAAAGCGUGGGGAGCAAACAGGAUUAGAUACCCCAGUAGUC